CCCGCCACUAUAGCAGUCUGAUGUGACUGUGUAUAAUCCAGUGGUGAGCUAAGAGAAGAUCCCACCUUUAGGAAACAGGUUCCCUCCACCUGUGAGGGACUCUGUGCCGCAAGGAUGGGGACACAU